GUUCGGUGGAAACGAGUAUAAAACGUGAAGGAUAACGUUGCGUCAGCAACGGCCCGUAGGGCGAGGCAAAGCCGAGUCAUCCUGCACAACCCACUA
rnacentral:sRNA from 1 species